rnacentral:rRNA from 1 species
AUGGCUCAGGAUGAACGCUGGCGGCGUGCCUAACACAUGCAAGUCGAACGGAGUUAAGGGAAAUUUCGGAUGGAACUUAACUAGUGGCGGACGGGUGAGUAACGCGUGGAUAACCUGCCUCACACUGGGGGAUAGCAGCUGGAAACGGCUGGUAAUACCGCAUAAGACCACAGCACCGCAUGGUGCAGGGGUAAAAGAUUUAUCGGUGUGAGAUGGAUCCGCGUCUGAUUAGCCAGUUGGCGGGUAACGGCCCACCAAAGCGACGAUCAGUAGCCGGCCUGAGAGGGUGAACGGCCACAUUGGGAUUGAGACACGGCCCAAACUCCUACGGGAGGCAGCAGUGGGGAAUAUUGCACAAUGGGCGCAAGCCUGAUGCAGCAACGCCGCCGUGAGUGAAGAAGUAUUUCGGUAUGUAAAGCUCUAUCGGCAGGGAAGAAAGGCCCAUAACAGGGAGAUGACGGUACCUGACUAAGAAGCCCCGGCUAACUACGUGCCAGCCGCUGC